GUGAACGCUGGCGGUAGGCCUAACACAUGCAAGUCGAGCGGCAGCACAGUAAGAGCUUGCUCUUACGGGUGGCGAGUGGCGGACGGGUGAGGAAUACAUCGGAAUCUACUUUUUCGUGGGGGAUAACGUAGGGAAACUUACGCUAAUACCGCAUACGACCUACGGGUGAAAGCAGGGGAUCUUCGGACCUUGCGCGAUUGAAUGAGCCGAUGUCGGAUUAGCUAGUUGGCGGGGUAAAGGCCCACCAAGGCGACGAUCCGUAGCUGGUCUGAGAGGAUGAUCAGCCACACUGGAACUGAGACACGGUCCAGACUCCUACGGGAGGCAGCAGUGGGGAAUAUUGGACAAAGGGCGCAAGCCUGAUCCAGCCAUACCGCGUGGGUGAAGAAGGCCUUCGGGUUGUAAAGCCCUUUUGUUGGGAAAGAAAAGCAGCAGGUUAAUACCCCGCUGUUCUGACGGUACCCAAAGAAUAAGCACCGGCUAACUUCGUG
rnacentral:rRNA from 1 species